rnacentral:rRNA from 1 species
AGGAAGCAGCUUGCUGCUUUGCUGACGAGUGGCGGACGGGUGAGUAAUGUCUGGGAAACUGCCUGAUGGAGGGGGAUAACUACUGGAAACGGUAGCUAAUACCGCAUAACGUCGCAAGACCAAAGAGGGGGACCUUCGGGCCUCUUGCCAUCGGAUGUGCCCAGAUGGGAUUAGCUAGUAGGUGGGGUAACGGCUCACCUAGGCGACGAUCCCUAGCUGGUCUGAGAGGAUGACCAGCCACACUGGAACUGAGACACGGUCCAGACUCCUACGGGAGGCAGCAGUGGGGAAUAUUGCACAAUGGGCGCAAGCCUGAUGCAGCCAUGCCGCGUGUAUGAAGAAGGCCUUCGGGUUGUAAAGUACUUUCAGCGGGGAGGAAGGGAGUAAAGUUAAUACCUUUGCUCAUUGACGUUACCCGCAGAAGAAGCACCGGCUAACUCCGUGCCAGCAGCCGCGGUAAUACGGAGGGUGCAAGCGUUAAUCGGAAUUACUGGGCGUAAAGCGCACGCAGGCGGUUUGUUAAGUCAGAUGUGAAAUCCCCGGGCUCAACCUGGGAACUGCAUCUGAUACUGGCAAGCUUGAGUCUCGUAGAGGGGGGUAGAAUUCCAGGUGUAGCGGUGAAAUGCGUAGAGAUCUGGAGGAAUACCGGUGGCGAAGGCGGCCCCCUGGACGAAGACUGACGCUCAGGUGCGAAAGCGUGGGGGAGCAAACAGGAUUAGAUACCCUGGUAGUCCACGCCGUAAACGAUGUCGACUUGGAGGUUGUGCCCUUGAGGCGUGGCUUCCGGAGCUAACGCGUUAAGUCGACCGCCUGGGGAGUACGGCCGCAAGGUUAAAACUCAAAUGAAUUGACGGGGGCCCGCACAAGCGGUGGAGCAUGUGGUUUAAUUCGAUGCAACGCGAAGAACCUUACCUGGUCUUGACAUCCACAGAACUUUCCAGAGAUGGAUUGGUGCCUUCGGGAACUGUGAGACAGGUGCUGCAUGGCUGUCGUCAGCUCGUGUUGUGAAAUGUUGGGUUAAGUCCCGCAACGAGCGCAACCCUUAUCCUUUGUUGCCAGCGGUCCGGCCGGGAACUCAAAGGAGACUGCCAGUGAUAAACUGGAGGAAGGUGGGGAUGACGUCAAGUCAUCAUGGCCCUUACGACCAGGGCUACACACGUGCUACAAUGGCGCAUACAAAGAGAAGCGACCUCGCGAGAGCAAGCGGACCUCAUAAAGUGCGUCGUAGUCCGGAUUGGAGUCUGCAACUCGACUCCAUGAAGUCGGAAUCGCUAGUAAUCGUGGAUCAGAAUGCCACGGUGAAUACGUUCCCGGGCCUUGUACACACCGCCCGU